CUGAUUAAUCUUCAAACUGUUUUGUGGUUGGUACUAUUCUUAGAGGUGUAAGCAUUUUGUUUCCUAUAUAGUGUAAGAUCAAAAAAGAAAAAAUAUCUCUCUGGUAAUUGUUAUAUUUUCUCAGAACACAUGUCUAAUUCAUAAUGUUAUAAGGUUAGUCUUGCCAAACCUAUAGCAUCUUUUCUAAAAAUAAAAUGUAAGAUUAUCAUUUUAAUAUCAGUCAGCAAGUGGCUAUGAUGGUUGCUAAGGCCCUUAUAAAUUUAGCAAAUUAAAUAAACUGGGGUCACACAACUGUAGCAUUUAUAUAGCAAGAGUAUUUACUAAUCUUGUCACUGCUAAUGUAUAGCAAGAGUAUUUACUAAUCUUGUCACUGCUAAUACGUGCUCUUUGGAAGAUAGACAGGGGACAUUUGUCCUUCUGGGGAAACCUUUCUAUACACGUUGCCCAGGAUGUUAAGCCCUUGUAAGAGCAAAAUGGCCAAAGGCAACUGUAGAGUUACCCUUACUAAUGGUGGAAAAAGCCUCCUGACAUGAAUGGCCUCAACACCUUCUCCUGCACACGUGUCAGGAACAAAUCAUUCAUGAUUAGCUUCCCAGAGAACCCUAUACCAUUACUCUAGCCCUUUCUUGUUUCAGGAGACUAAUAGAGGCUAUAUGGUAAUUCUUGCAAUAUGUAAGCAGCCUCCUUUAAGUGAUUCAGGCUUCUAAGUUCAUGUGCCGUGGGCUGCCAGGAAGGAGACACCUUCCUGAGCCCUGGAUCUUUCUUCCUUCUGGAAGUCUUUUGCUGUGGGUAUUUGUUUUUGAAUAAAAGCGUCCACACAUCAUGGACCUCAUGGGACUGCUGAAGUCUCAGUUCCUGUGCCACCUGGUCUUCUGCUACGUCUUCAUCGCCUCGGGGCUGAUCAUCAACACCAUGCAGCUCUUCACUCUCCUUUGGCCAAUUAACAAGCAGCUCUUCAGGAAGAUCAACUGCAGACUGUCCUAUUGCAUCUCAAGCCAGCUGGUGAUGCUGCUGGAGUGGUGGUCGGACAUGGAAUGCACCAUCUUCAUGGACCCGCGAGCCUACCCCAAGUAUGGGAAGGAAAAUGCCAUCGUGAUUCUCAACCACAAGUUUGAAAUUGACUUUCUCUGUGGCUGGAGCCUGUCCCAACGCUUUGGGCUCUUAGGGGGUCCAAGGUCCUGGCCAAGAAAGAGCUGGCCUACGUCCCGAUCAUCGGCUGGAUGUGGUACUUCACCAAGAUGGUCUUCUGCACGCGCAAGUGGGAGCAGGAUCGCAAGACAGUUGCCACCAGCCUACAGCACCUCCGGGACUACCCCGAGAAAUAUUUUUUCCUGAUCCACUGUGAGGGCACACGGUUCACAGAGAAGCAGCACGAGAUCAGCAUGCAGGUGGCCCGGGCCAAGGGGCUGCCUAGCCUCAAGCACCACCGGUUGCCGUGAACCAAGGGCUUCGCCAUCACUGUGAGGAGCUUGAGAAAUGUAGUUUCAGCUGUAUAUGACUGUACACUCAAUUUCAGAAAUAAUGAAAAUCCAACACUGCUGGGAGUCCUAAACGGAAAGAAAUAUCAUGCAGAUUUGUAUGUUAGGAGGAUUCCACUGGAAGACAUCCCUGAAGACGAUGCCAAGUGCUCGGCCUGGCUGCACAAACUCUACCAGGAGAAGGAUGCAUUUCAGGAGGAGUACUACAGGAUGGGCACCUUCCCGGAGACGCCUAUGGUGCCCCCCAGGCGGCCCUGGACCCUAGUGAACUGGCUGUUUUGGGCCUUAUUGGUGUUCUACCCUUUCUUCCAGUUCUUGGUCAGCAGUAUCACUUGUUGGUUUUUAAAUUCCUCUUGCUGUACUAAAAACAAAUACUAAUAACAAAAAUAACCCUUUAUUGAAAAGGGAAAGUGUGCCUCUUCACAAUUCUUUUUUUCUUCCUUUCUUUUUUAAAUACAUGGUUGCAUCAUGUUCUCCAGUACUUUCUGGUUAACCUAAUACCUAGUCUGGGAUUAGGUUGGUGCAACAAUAAUUGCGGUUUCACCAUUGAUUUUAAUGUCUGUGGACUAGACCAGGGUAUAUUAUGUUCUGGCACAUCAUGUAUAAGGUUAAAUUGGCUUUUGUCCAUGCAGGUUAGAGAACUCCUGCCUUGUACACUGGAGGCAAAUAAUACUUGUUUAUUUGCCAUUUUCAGUUUACAGGUAUCUAGAACAAACCAUCGUGUAUCUUACAAGUCCCAUGUCAAUGUAAUUCUUAUGUAUAGUCAUUGCUUUAGACAAAGCUUGAUUUUAAUUCAUUGAUUUAUAGUACUGUAAACAAUCUGUAAAUAUGAUUUGAGAUGUCAGAUAGAUAUGCAUAUAUCUUAUCUGAGUAUAGAAUUUUUAAAUCACUACUAUGUCUUAAAAUAUUUUGAGUUAUUUUAUGGCUUAAUAAUAGAACUCAAAAAAAAAAAUGCACCAUGAAGUAACCUGCUAACUGUGUUUCUU